AAAAGAUGAAUUUAACC
rnacentral:sRNA from 1 species